rnacentral:rRNA from 1 species
GACGAACGCUGGCGGCGUGCUUAACACAUGCAAGUCGAGCGGUAAGGCCCUUCGGGGUACACGAGCGGCGAACGGGUGAGUAACACGUGGGUGACCUGCCUCUAGCUCUGGGAUAAGCCUGGGAAACUGGGUCUAAAUACCGGAUAUGACUCCACGGCGCAUGUUGUGGGGUGGAAAGCCUUGUGUGGCUAGAGAUGGGCCCGCGGCCUAUCAGCUUGUUGGUGGGGUNAUGGCCACCAAGGCGACGACGGUAGCCGGCCUGAGAGGGCGACCGGCCACACUGGGACUGAGACACGGCCCAGACUCCUACGGGAGGCAGCAGUGGGGAAUCUUGCGCAAUGGGCGAAAGCCUGACGCAGCGACGCCGCGUGAGGGAUGACGGCCU